GAUGAAGAACGCAGCGAAAUGCGAUAAGUAAUGUGAAUUGCAGAAUUCAGUGAAUCAUCGAAUCUUUGAACGCACAUUGCGCCCGCCGGUAUUCCGGCGGGCAUGCCUGUUCGAGCGUCAUUUCAACCAUCAAGCCCUGGGCUUGUGUUGGGGACCUGCGGCUGCCGCAGGCCCUGAAAUGCAGUGGCGGACUCGCAAGACACACCGAGCGUAGUAGCUUACAACCUCGCUUUGGGAGUGCUGCGGGUGCUGGCCGUAAAGCGACCUUUGCGUCUUUAGCACUAGGUUGACCUCGGAUCAGGUAGGAGGACCCGCUGAACUUAAGCAUAUCAAUAAGCGGAGGA
rnacentral:misc_RNA from 1 species